CGUGGUUAACACAUGCAAGUCGAACGGAAAGGCCCUGCUUUUGUGGGGCGCUCGAGUGGCGAACGGGUGAGUAACACGUGAGUAACCUGCCCUUGACUUUGGGAUAACUUCAGGAAACUGGGGCUAAUACCGGAUAGGAGCUCCUGCUGCAUGGUGGGGGUUGGAAAGUUUCGGCGGUUGGGGAUGGACUCGCGGCUUAUCAGCUUGUUGGUGGGGUAGUGGCUUACCAAGGCUUUGACGGGUAGCCGGCCUGAGAGGGUGACCGGCCACAUUGGGACUGAGAUACGGCCCAGACUCCUACGGGAGGCAGCAGUGGGGAAUAUUGCACAAUGGGCGGAAGCCUGAUGCAGCAACGCCGCGUGCGGGAUGACGGCCUUCGGGUUGUAAACCGCUUUCGCCUGUGACGAAGCGUGAGUGACGGUAAUGGGUAAAGAAGCACCGGCUAACUACGUGCCAGCAGCCGCGGUGAUACGUAGGGUGCGAGCGUUGUCCGGAUUUAUUGGGCGUAAAGGGCUCGUAGGUGGUUGAUCGCGUCGGAAGUGUAAUCUUGGGGCUUAACCCUGAGCGUGCUUUCGAUACGGGUUGACUUGAGGAAGGUAGGGGAGAAUGGAAUUCCUGGUGGAGCGGUGGAAUGCGCAGAUAUCAGGAGGAACACCAGUGGCGAAGGCGGUUCUCUGGGCCUUUCCUGACGCUGAGGAGCGAAAGCGUGGGGAGCGAACAGGCUUAGAUACCCUGGUAGUCCACGCUGUAAACGGUGGGUACUAGGUGUGGGGUCCAUUCCACGGGUUCCGUGCCGUAGCUAACGCUUUAAGUACCCCGCCUGGGGAGUACGGCCGCAAGGCUAAAACUCAAAGGAAUUGACGGGGCCCCGCACAAGCGGCGGAGCAUGCGGAUUAAUUCGAUGCAACGCGUAGAACCUUACCUGGGUUUGACAUGGAUCGGGAGUGCUCAGAGAUGGGUGUGCCUCUUUUGGGGUCGGUUCACAGGUGGUGCAUGGCUGUCGUCAGCUCGUGUCGUGAGAUGUUGGGUUAAGUCCCGCAACGAGCGCAACCCUUGUUCACUGUUGCCAGCACGUUAUGGUGGGGACUCAGUGGAGACCGCCGGGGUCAACUCGGAGGAAGGUGGGGAUGACGUCAAGUCAUCAUGCCCCUUAUGUCCAGGGCUUCACGCAUGCUACAAUGGCUGGUACAGAGAGUGGCGAGCCUGUGAGGGUGAGCGAAUCUCGGAAAGCCGGUCUCAGUUCGGAUUGGGGUCUGCAACUCGACCUCAUGAAGUCGGAGUCGCUAGUAAUCGCAGAUCAGCAACGCUGCGGUGAAUACGUUCCCGGGGCUUGUACACACCGCCCGUCAAGUCAUGAAAGUUGGUAACACCCGAAGCCGGUGGCCUAACCGUUGUGGGGGAGCCGUCGAAGGUGGGACUGGUGAUUAG
rnacentral:rRNA from 1 species